rnacentral:sRNA from 1 species
AAAACUGUUACCGCUGAUUUUUUGCGUAACAAAAGCCGGGGCUUACGGUAACGAAGUCCCG